GUGCUGUGUUGGGUGACCGGAACCAAUUUGGCCUAUCUGAAAACCCCAGGCCUUGGGGCUGCUGCUGUAGGCGUCAGGUUGAGCAGGGACUUUGCAAGCCGAGCGCAAGAGGAAUAGUAGGAUUCUCCUAGAGGCAGCAAAUAUUUGCAGGCUGAAGAACGAAGCCGAGCGGGGCCGUACUGCCUUGUCCCUGCCCCCGCCCCUGGAUCCCCGGCGCCGGCCUGGGCGGACCUGAGGGCGCGGUUACCGACUGAAGUGAAGCCCGGAACCUGCGGGGCUGGGAGGUCGGGGAGAGCUCAGAACCGCACCGAAGGCCAGAAACCGAGUGCACAGCCCCGGUCCCCGGCGAGCCGAGGACUAGGGGAAAAGUCCCUUCCCAUUUCAGCUCUAUCAAUCUUCCUUUGAUGCGAUUGAUCAAUAAAAACGAAGUGAAAAGACCGUGGUCGCUGUGCGUCUGAGAAGGAAGUGGAGGCCAGAGAUAUCCAGGCCAGCGCCGGCGCCCCCUUACCUAUCCGGUUCGCAACCUGGAGGUCUGCAACGCUUCGGACUGGGGAAGCAGGGCGGUGGCGAGAACCCAGGGCGACGGCGCGGGGCCUUUAAUUGGGUGUAUCCGUUUUAACAGUGGCCAUUGUUGAAGCAAUUAGCAAGAGACAAUAACCACCAAGAUGCGUUUAAUUCGAUUCUGUGCACGCUGCAAUCCCGACCCGGGCGCUGCGAUUAACAGGCCGGGGAUAACCGGGAGGGUCUGGUUGUGAAAGUACCGAUUCUGUUCCUUGAUCUUUUUGUCUUAGGCCUGGGAGUUGUAAAAGAAAGGCUGGGGGAGCCAGAUCUGCCCCAAGCAGGCCACGGUGGGAGACUCGUCCUUGGUCUUGCUAGUCCCCACUGGUCACCCCCCGGACCACUGUUCCUUCUUGGAGCGAGGGUUGGAGCUGCGGCCGCCGCGUCAAUCCACAGUGCCUGUUUGAGGGAAAAAAGCCGGGAAGGCUGGGACAUGAAUCCACGUCUCCUUUCUAAAUCCUACAUCCCCACCUCGGUUCCUCGAAACAAAUCCGAAUUACCUUCCCAAUCGGGGGAGGAGCAAAGGAGAGACCCCUGCUUGUGUCGCAGAACACACCUCCUUCUCUGAAGUCAGCCCCACUACCCCCUCCUCCGUUUUAGCCUCCGGAUUAGGUUACCCAGGCCGGGCAAGGAUUUUCACUGGAUACGAGAACAGUACAGUUUAAAACACAGGAGGAAAGCCGCCCAAGCCGGGAGGAGCGGCGAACGACGCGGAGAGUCUACAAGAGAAGAGAUGCUCCCGGCGAUUACCCGCCUCGCACUCCGCCCCCAACCCAGCCCCGGCCUGCACCUUCAGCUUCUAGGGAUUCUGGCCCUCCCUCAGCCAGUAUGAUCUCCCCCGCCCCUUGAGAAAACCCCUGAUUUUGGUGAGAUUAAAAAAAAAUGGGUAGGUAGGGGUGAAGCGGAAAGGGGCAGGCGGACAGGGAGAAGACCGGGGAUUUCUGCUUUCGAAUAGAACAAAGCACACGUGAGAGGGAGGGUGACUGGGGAGCCCUCGCCUAGGGUGGGAAGAGAAAGAACUCACCUAGAAAGGAAAAAGUGUGCACUUUUGCUUAGCUUUCCCGGGGUCCUAGCCCUAAAGGCUUAGGAACCGUGGGAAAGAGCAAGGGAUGCCGGUGACCCAUUGGGAAGCGCAGGCCCCCGCAGCCGCUCCCCUGACCUUGGGCACCAUUAAUUUUUAGUGGAAGAUUCAGCUUCUAGAUCCGGCCUGCUCCUAGGGAAGCCCCAGGUCCCACCUUUGAAGCACCCAGGAUUCUGCCUAGCAUCCAAGAAAAUCCGGAGCCAGGUGGUUGGGGUUCGAUCACUUGAACACACAGGCCUCUCGAUCUUAGGAAAGAUGUAGGAGGGCCAGCCUCAGUCACCUGUCUCAUUUCGAUCCUGGCCCCCCGGUUCUCCCAACUGGGUGAGGCGCCCUCCCUCCAGUCCCCAGCGCCUGCUUCAGCAUCCUUUUUUCCCUGCACUUUGGUGGUUUCAAGAGGAGGAAACGGGCUAUAUCUUGGAGAUGUUGAGCUUUGACUUCUCGAGAUUAGCCUAAGGAAUUAGAACGCCGAUUCUGGAGGGACAAUCCACCGAGAACGAGGGCUGAAGCGCGGGGAAGGCUGUGGAGGGAUUCAUAGCCAAGGAAGAAAAACGGGAAGGUGGUGCGAUUUAGACCCCGCAGAGAGCCAAGGUUGGCUUGUAAAAAGCAUGAAAUCCUUAGUGCCACUGAACGAGCAGGCAACCCCACAGAAAAAGCUGAGUAUGCCGGGCUCGGAGGUGCAAAACCAAGACUUCCCUUGGCAUCACGGUUCCUUUGACCAGGGCCACUAUCAGGCUGCCUGCUUGCCUGCCUGCCUGCCGGUGACUCUCGGAUCCAGGUCCCCCCCCCCCCCCCCCCGGCUUGGUGUGCACCCUCCACAGCCUGCCACCUCAUGAACUUCAGCAAUUUGUUACAUAAAAUAAAACAACCACCAGACACA